rfam:Sphaerobolus stellatus SS14 unplaced genomic scaffold SPHSTscaffold_32, whole genome shotgun sequence.
UCACCACUCUGGCCUUUUGGCUUAGAUCAAGUGUAGUAUCUGUUCUUUUUAGUUUAACCACUAAAAUGACCGCACAGCGGUCACUUAUGGUUAUCAAAUUUUUGCCGCCUCGUCUUUUGACCUCUGCUUGCACGUCGAAGGGCAUGAUGACCUUGCUAUUGCAGUACAGGCUUGUGUCGUCAGGGGAU